rnacentral:rRNA from 1 species
GACGAACGCUGGCGGCGUGCUUAACACAUGCAAGUCGAACGGUAAGGCCCUUUCGGGGGUACACGAGUGGCGAACGGGUGAGUAACACGUGGGUGAUCUGCCCUGCACUUUGGGAUAAGCCUGGGAAACUGGGUCUAAUACCGGAUAGGACUACGCGAUGCAUGUCGUGUGGUGGAAAGCUUUUGCGGUGUGGGAUGGGCCCGCGGCCUAUCAGCUUGUUGGUGGGGUGAUGGCCUACCAAGGCGACGACGGGUAGCCGGCCUGAGAGGGUGUCCGGCCACACUGGGACUGAGAUACGGCCCAGACUCCUACGGGAGGCAGCAGUGGGGAAUAUUGCACAAUGGGCGCAAGCCUGAUGCAGCGACGCCGCGUGGGGGAUGACGGCCUUCGGGUUGUAAACCCCUUUCAGCACAGACGAAGCGUAAGGGACGGUAUGUGCAGAAGAAGCACCGGCCAACUACGUG